UUCAGUAAAAAAGGAAGGGCUUCCGUUCAACGAAAAUGCGCAAUUCACAGGAAUUCACAACGCGAUUCGCUUGUUGUUCGCCAGCCACGUUGUUUGCAACCCGAAUGUCCGCCCAACAGCCUGCAAGCAGCUUAACCGAGGCCGCAGCGUUACUUCAGACUGUACUGGCGUCAACGGAGACCAUCAGAACCUCGUCAAAUGCAACAGUCGGGCAACAACAGACCGUUGCAACUUCAAGCCGCGACACACUGGACUGUCACAUAGCGUCGCUUCCCCCCCCCCGGACAGCACAGCAGCGUCACACUGCCAGCUGUGGAUCCAGUCCGGAGAGAGUCUGCUCCGCGUUACCAAGCGCAACUCUUGGACAUCAGUCACAAGGAGGAAAAGAUUCUUUGAAGGACUGUAAACUCUUUGGGGUUCUGGACCAAAUAUGACGAGAUCCAGACAGCUUCCGACCCUGUUCUGCUAUGAGCCAAACACACUUACUGCUGACCGGGUGGAGGAUUUUUUCAGCAUUCAUCUCACUCCAGAAAGGAGCAACAAGACUUUCUGUAGGAAUUAUCUCCAAGAUGCAGAAGAAGAAGGGCCAUCCAAACUAGAGAAGAUUUUGGCCUUC